GACGAACGCUGGCGGCGUGCUUAACACAUGCAAGUCGAGCGGUAAGGCUCCUUCGGGAGUACACGAGCGGCGAACGGGUGAGUAACACGAGAGCAAUCUGCCCAUCACUUUGGGAUAACUCCGGGAAACCGGUGCUAAUACCGAAUACGACCACUUCAGGCAUCUGACGGUGGUGGAAAGUUCCGGCGGUGAUGGAUGAGCUCGCGGCCUAUCAGCUUGUUGGUGGGUAAAUGGCCUACCAAGGCUUCGACGGGUAGCCGGCCUGAGAUGGUGACCGGCCACCAUGGGCCUGAGUCCAGGCCUAAGCCCCUGCGGGAGGCAGCAGUGGGGAAUAUUGAACAAUGGGCGAAAGCCUGAUCCAGCAAAACAGCGUGAGAGAUGACGGCAUUCUGGUUGUAAACCUCUUUCAGCGCCUACGAAUCGAAAGUGACAGUAGGCGCAGAAGAAGAACCGGCCAACUACGUGCCAGACGCCGCCGUAACAC
rnacentral:rRNA from 1 species